UUGAGUAGUGGUGAGAACUGGGAUGAC
rnacentral:piRNA from 1 species